rnacentral:rRNA from 1 species
GACUGCGUGAAGUCGGAUCGCUAGUAAUCGCGGAUCAGCAUGCCGCGGUGAAUACGUUCCCGGGCCUUGUACACACCGCCCGUCACACCAUGAGAGUCGGGAACACCCGAAGUCCGUAGCCUAACCGCGAAGGGGGGCGCGGCCGAAGGUGGGUUCGAUAAUUGGGGUGAAGUCGUAACAAGGUAAC